UGGAUAUCAAGAAUACGACCAAGUGUGAGAGACUGAAAUGCUGUUAAUGUCUUAAACAUUGUCAAAAUCACAGAAAGACUUUUUGUCAAACUGCAAAGAAGCAACUGCCCAUCUGUGACCACCAAAGCACUCACCUCUCUCCCAGAUAUGCCUCCUGACUGGAAUUUGGACUGUAACUGGGGACUUGAGAUAAGACUAUUGUCCAAUUCUCUCAGAUCUGAGGAGAAGUAAACAAGGCUCAGGGAAGAAGAAUGUAUCUCUGUUAAGAAUCAGCCCUAGCUGGCCCCAGCAGGUGGAGGAGGAGAAGGGUUUUUAGUGUGUGAUGGCAAAAUCUCUCCACACAAAAGCAAUAACUCCGCCUCCGGCAAGGCCACAUACACAAGGGGCAUUCACAUGAGAGGCAGCUGAGAAGGGGUCAUAAAUCAUCAAAGACCCCCAAAGUGCCCUCCGACUCAUUCCUAAGACCUUCUGGCACCAGAGGACUGCAGGUGAUCCAAGUGAUGCAACAAAUACGAGCCUAUCGCAAGAAACUGUAAAGCUUCCCCCCAAAAAAGGGAGGUACCUGGGCAUUUCCUGAACAUGUAUUAAUCCAUUGGACUCAAUGUUUUAUGGGUCCCUCACCAUCAAGGAUACUAGAAGAGGAGGACCCACGAGACGCCAUUCGGUUCCAUGGAGUGGCUCCCUUCAGGUACUGGAAAGCCACAAUUAGUUCCCCUGAAGCAAACUUGCUAGCCCCAUUUAGCACUGUUUCUCUUCAGCAAGCAUUGAGAAGAGGGCAAAAGAGGCUAUAACUCAGUUGUUCUUUCCACCUGGGACCAUUUACAACUGAGACUUUGAGUCACAGGACCAGAUGACUUCCAAAAUGUAGGCUGUGCCAAGCCACUCAUAUCCUGGAAGUUUCUUUAUAUACAAUAAAGCCUAUGCAACACAAA